rnacentral:rRNA from 1 species
UAGUGGAGUGAUCUGUCUGGUUAAUUCCGAUAACGAACGAGAUCCCGGCCAUUUAAAUAGUGUUUAUUACUUUUGUAGUAAUACACUUCUUAGAGGAACUAUGUGGAAAAACUACACCAAGGAAGUGGGGCUAUAACA